AUGACAGAGGAGGAGAAACUCCUAAUCCGAACUUUCAAUGCUGUGAAGCUACCAACAAGACAAAUAAUAGCAAUCCUAAGUUACUUGAGAGGCGGGAACACUCCUUACACCAAAAAGCAUGUAAGCAAUGUUAGAACAGCCAUUGGCAAAGAGAGCAAUCAAAAUGACAUGAUGCAGGUGCUAACAUAUUUCAGGAAGAGACAAGCUGAAGAUCCACAAUUUUACUAUGCGUUCAAAACAACUAAAGUCUCUGAUGACGCAAGUAAAGUUUUGUGCAUUUUCUGGGCUGACGGGUAUUCUAGGAAAAUGUACGAGCUGUACGGAGACUGCCUCAGCUUCGACACAACAUUCAAGACAAACAGAUACAACCUCCCAUUUGCUCCCUUUGUUGGUGUCACAGGACAUGGCCAGAACUGUUUGUUUGCUUGCUCUAUCAUAGAGAAUGAAACAGCUGACACCUUUCAAUGGUUGUUUGAGACAUUCUUGCAUUGCAUGGGUGGGAAAUCUCCGUCCACAAUCAUAACAGACGAGGAUGCUGGGAUGAAGACAGCUAUCCCUUUAGUUUUCCCGCAUAUCUGCCACAGGCGUUGUUUGUUUCAUAUUAAAAAGAAGGCUGAGGAAAAAUGUACUAGGACUUUUGCAGCAAAUAAAACACUGCAUGAUGAUUUCAGUGACAUCAAUCACAACUCUCUGACGGUGGCUGAGUUUGAGCAAUUGUGGACAGAGAUGAUCCAGAGAUACAACAUUGGGCAUGUGAAGUAUUUCCAAAUCAUGUGGAAGAAAAGGAAAAGGUUUGUCCUUGUGUAUUUCAAGACGGACUUCUUCCCCUUCAUUCAUUCUACUGCGCGUAGUGAAGGCACCAACGCCAUUUUCAAGGACAACAUCACGUCAACUCACAAUGUGAUCAGCUUCCUCCAAGAGUACCAGAAGAUUUCAGAAACCAUACAAGAUAAGGAGAGGGAGCAAGACUCUAUCACAAGAACAACUUCGCCGACAUUCUGGGCACGAAGUGAGCUUGAGAUACAAGCUGCAAAAAUGUACAACAGAAAGAUAUUUUACAGAUUCCAAAAGCAGAUAAAGUUCGUGCUGAAUUUGCAUGUUGAAGAGGUUGAGAGAAAUGUGAAAUAUGAAGUCUACAAGACACCAAUGCUAGCUGAAAAGGAUUUCAGAACGCGAAGAUUUGUUGUGAUUGUGAACUUGCAGCAACAGUUGUUCAGUUGUAUCUGUGGGAAAUUUCAAAAAGAUGGCAUUGUGUGUUGCCAUGUCUUGAGAGUCCUUUCUCAUCUCAACAUGUCUGUGCUGCCAGAAAAAUAUUACAUAGACAGGUGGAGGCCAAAAAAUACAAAGGACAUACGGGACAUCCGUUUCAAUGUUCCUUUGGAACUAACUGUUGGAAGUCAACACUUAAGGUAUACCCUUCUAUCCAACAGGCUCAAUGAGAUGGCCUCGGACGGUGCAUCAACAAACAGAAAAUAUCUGUAUGUUGUAGCAGAAUGUGAAGGGGUGCAACAAAGGUUGGAUGAGAUGACUAAAGAGGAUGAACUUGCAGAAGCGCAACAAGCAAAUGUUGACAAGGACACAACAGAGACUGAUGCAGCACCGCAUCCUGAUGGUUAUGGAGACAAACUUCAAGAUCCUGAUGUUGCAGUGUCAAAAGGGCGUCCACAAAAAGGACGUUACAAAACUUUCAUGGAAAGUUUGGCAUCUAAACAGAAAGUCACAUGCAGUCGGUGUGGGAAGCCUGAUCAUUAUAAAAGUUCUUGUACUGCAAGUACUGAAGAUGUCAAUUUGGCUCAGAGAGAGAAAGCCUCAUCUGGGACAUCUACGGGCAAGCAACCAGCUGGUGCAAACCCGAGGAGGAAGGCAAGAAAAGAAAAAUGA
rnacentral:rRNA from 1 species